rnacentral:rRNA from 1 species
GAUGAACGCUAGCGGCAGGCCUAACACAUGCAAGUCGAGGGGUAACAUAGGAAAGCUUGCUUUUCUGAUGACGACCGGCGCACGGGUGCGUAACGCGUAUACAACCUACCUUUUAGCGGGGAAUAGCCCAGGGAAACUUGGAUUAAUGCCCCAUAGUAUAUGGACUUCUCCUGAAGUUUAUAUUAAACAUUUAUGGCUAUUAGAUGGGUAUGCGUCCUAUUAGUUAGUUGGUAAGGUAACGGCUUACCAAGGCAGCGAUAGGUAGGGGUCCUGAGAGGGAGAUCCCCACACUGGUACUGAGACACGGACCAGGCUCCUACGGGAGGCAGCAGUGAGGAAUAUUGGACAAUGGGCGAGAGCCUGAUCCAGCCAUGCCGCGUGCAGGAAGACUGCCCUAUGGGUUGUAAACUGCUUUUACAGAGGAAGAACCACCCCCACGUGUGGGGGUUUGACGGUACUCUGCGAAUAAGGAUCGGCUAACUCCGUG